rnacentral:sRNA from 1 species
CCAUCGUCAGCAUUUUACCCCAAGCCUGAUAUUUCAUGAUCUAAUGAAUUGUAUGUUUGAUUACUAAAAUCAUAGUGGGAUUUUAAAUGGUUUACUAAAUAAUUAAGAUUUACCUUCGAUAUUUUUUAGAAAUUGAAUAGUUAAAAAUUUAACAUCUUGAAGUUGACAUUGAGGUCUGUGGGAAAAGUACAAUUUUAAUUUUAUAAGUACAGUUAUUUUCUUUCAAAUGUCUUAGUAAAAAGUUGCAAAUGCUUUUCUUUCUUUGAAAAUCACAAAAAUUAAAAAAUAAUAACUAACCGUACAUAUGAUGAGAACAUUAUUUUUUCUUAAUAUUGUUUAUAUCAAUCAAAACUGAUAAUUUUACCUCGGUUAGGAUGGACUACCUUUAAUCAUUCUACCACUGAACAACAUUAAGAUCAUAUAAAUGUUCCUAAUUGCCCGCCAUACAUUUACAGAUAUAUACCGGUAUUGACGAUGCAAUUUACGUACGUAAACUUUGAGAAAUGGACAUGUUUUAUGUUCAUGUUAAAAUUGC